AUACGUAGGUGACAAGCGUUAUCCGGAUUUACUGGGCGUAAAGGGCGUGUAGGCGGUCUUGCAAGUCAGAAGUGAAAUUCCUGAGCUCAACUCGGGCGCUGCUUCUGAAACUGCAGGACUUGAGUGCUGGAGGGGAUAGCGGAAUUCCUAGUGGAGCGGUAAAAUGCGCAGAUAUUAGGAAGAACACCGGUGGCGAAGGCGGCUAUCUGGACAGUAACUGACGCUGAGGCGCGAAAGCGUGGGGAGCAAACAGGAUUAGAUUCCCUGGUAGGCCACGCCGUAAACGAUGAAUACUAGGUGUAGGGGGUAUCGACUCCCUCUGUGCCGCAGUUAACACAAUAAGUAUUCCGCCUGGGGAGUACGGCCGCAAGGUUGAAACUCAAAGGAAUUGACGGGG
rnacentral:rRNA from 1 species